rnacentral:rRNA from 1 species
AGAGUUUGAUCAUGGCUCAGAUUGAACGCUGGCGGCAGGCCUAACACAUGCAAGUCGAACGGUAACAGGAAACAGCUUGCUGUUUCGCUGACGAGUGGCGGACGGGUGAGUAAUGUCUGGGAAACUGCCUGAUGGAGGGGGAUAACUACUGGAAACGGUAGCUAAUACCGCAUAACGUCGCAAGACCAAAGAGGGGGACCUUCGGGCCUCUUGCCAUCAGAUGUGCCCAGAUGGGAUUAGCUAGUAGGUGGGGUAACGGCUCACCUAGGCGACGAUCCCUAGCUGGUCUGAGAGGAUGACCAGCCACACUGGAACUGAGACACGGUCCAGACUCCUACGGGAGGCAGCAGUGGGGAAUAUUGCACAAUGGGCGCAAGCCUGAUGCAGCCAUGCCGCGUGUAUGAAGAAGGCCUUCGGGUUGUAAAGUACUUUCAGCGGGGAGGAAGGGAGUAAAGUUAAUACCUUUGCUCAUUGACGUUACCCGCAGAAGAAGCACCGGCUAACUCCGUGCCAGCAGCCGCGGUAAUACGGAGGGUGCAAGCGUUAAUCGGAAUUACUGGGCGUAAAGCGCACGCAGGCGGUUUGUUAAGUCAGAUGUGAAAUCCCCGGGCUCAACCUGGGAACUGCAUCUGAUACUGGCAAGCUUGAGUCUCGUAGAGGGGGGUAGAAUUCCAGGUGUAGCGGCGAAAUGCGUAGAGAUCUGGAGGAAUACCGGUGGCGAAGGCGGCCCCCUGGACGAAGACUGACGCUCAGGUGCGAAAGCGUGGGGAGCAAACAGGAUUAGAUACCCUGGUAGUCCACGCCGUAAACGAUGUCGACUUGGAGGUUGUGCCCUUGAGGCGUGGCUUCCGGAGCUAACGCGUUAAGUCGACCGCCUGGGGAGUACGGCCGCAAGGUUAAAACUCAAAUGAAUUGACGGGGGCCCGCACGAGCGGUGGAGCAUGUGGUUUAAUUCGAUGCAACGCGAAGAACCUUACCUGGUCUUGACAUCCACGGAAGUUUUCAGAGAUGAGAAUGUGCCUUCGGGAACCGUGAGACAGGUGCUGCAUGGCUGUCGUCAGCUCGUGUUGUGAAAUGUUGGGUUAAGUCCCGCAACGAGCGCAACCCUUAUCCUUUGUUGCCAGCGGUCCGGCCGGGAACUCAAAGGAGACUGCCAGUGAUAAACUGGAGGAAGGUGGGGAUGACGUCAAGUCAUCAUGGCCCUUACGACCAGGGCUACACACGUGCUACAAUGGCGCAUACAAAGAGAAGCGACCUCGCGAGAGCAAGCGGACCUCAUAAAGUGCGUCGUAGUCCGGAUUGGAGUCUGCAACUCGACUCCAUGAAGUCGGAAUCGCUAGUAAUCGUGGAUCAGAAUGCCACGGUGAAUACGUUCCCGGGCCUUGUACACACCGCCCGUCACACCAUGGGAGUGGGUUGCAAAAGAAGUAGGUAGCUUAACCUUCGGGAGGGCGCUUACCACUUUGUGAUUCAUGACUGGGGUGAAGUCGUAACAAGGUAACCGUAGGGGAACCUGCGGUUG